rnacentral:rRNA from 1 species
CCUACGGGGGGCUGCAGUGGGGAAUAUUGGACAAUGGGGGCAACCCUGAUCCAGCCAUGCCGCGUGUGUGAAGAAGGCCCUCGGGUUGUAAAGCACUUUCAGUGAGGAAGAACGCCUGGUGGUUAAUACCCAUCAGGAAAGACAUCACUCACAGAAGAAGCACCGGCUAACUCCGUGCCAGCAGCCGCGGUAAUACGGAGGGUGCGAGCGUUAAUCGGAAUUACUGGGCGUAAAGCGCGCGUAGGUGGCUUGAUAAGCCGGUUGUGAAAGCCCCGGGCUCAACCUGGGAACGGCAUCCGGAACUGUCAAGCUAGAGUGCAGGAGAGGAAGGUAGAAUUCCCGGUGUAGCGGUGAAAUGCGUAGAGAUCGGGAGGAAUACCAGUGGCGAAGGCGGCCUUCUGGACUGAAACUGACACUGAGGUGCGAAAGCGUGGGUAGCAAACAGGAUUAGAUACCCUGGUAGUC